CAUGUUGCCCAGUCAGAUGUGUUUUCCCAGGUCCUUGGGCCUCACCCAAGAAUGAGGGAGAGGGCCCUGGUGGCACGGUGAGCUCAUUCAAGUAAGUAUCGGACCCAGAGAGUUUUGCUGAAAGCGAUUUAUUAGGGACAUGGUGGGGCGGAGAGGGGGAGAGAGAGAGAGAACAAGAGGAGAGAGAGGAGAAAG